rnacentral:rRNA from 1 species
UGGGGAAUAUUGCACAAUGGGCGAAAGCCUGAUGCAGCGACGCCGCGUGAGGGAUGACGGCCUUCGGGUUGUAAACCUCUUUCAGCAGGGAAGAAGCCACAAGUGACGGUACCUGCAGAAGAAGCGCCGGCUAACUACGUGCCAGCAGCCGCGGUAAUACGUAGGGCGCAAGCGUUGUCCGGAAUUAUUGGGCGUAAAGAGCUCGUAGGCGGUUUGUCGCGUCUGCUGUGAAAGCCCGGGCUUAACCCCGGGUGUGCAGUGGGUACGGGCAGACUAGAGUGCAGUAGGGGAGACUGGAAUUCCUGGUGUAGCGGUGGAAUGCGCAGAUAUCAGGAGGAACACCGAUGGCGAAGGCAGGUCUCUGGGCUGUUACUGACGCUGAGGAGCGAAAGCAUGGGGAGCGAACA